rnacentral:lncRNA from 1 species
AGGCUUUGAGACUUGGUGAGCCUUUGCAUGCCUUAGUGUCUUCUUCGAUGCUUGGGGAUUCUGCUCGCCUUCACGUGGUCGAGCAGAUCCUGGCAUGCUUGGCUUCUGUCUCGCCAUAAAACAGGCUUUGAGACUUGGUGAGCCUUUGCAUGCCUUAGUGUCUUCUUCGAUGCUUGGGGAUUCUGCUCGCCUUCACGUGGUCGAGCAGAUCCUGGCAUGCUUGGCUUCUGUCUCGCCAUAAAACAGGCUUUGAGACUUGGUGAGCCUUUGCAUGCCUUAGUGUCUUCUUCGAUGCUUGGGGAUUCUGCUCGCCUUCACGUGGUCGAGCAGAUCCUGGCAUGCUUGGCUUCUGUCUCGCCAUAAAACAGGCUUUGAGACUUGGUGAGCCUUUGCAUGCCUUAGUGUCUUCUUCGAUGCUUGGGGAUUCUGCUCGCCUUCACGUGGUCGAGCAGAUCCUGGCAUGCUUGGCUUCUGUCUCGCC